rnacentral:rRNA from 1 species
GAGUUUGAUCCUGGCUCAGAACGAACGCUGGCGGCAUGCCUAACACAUGCAAGUCGAACGAAGGCUUCGGCCUUAGUGGCGCACGGGUGCGUAACGCGUGGGAAUCUGCCCUUAGGUACGGAAUAACAGUUAGAAAUGACUGCUAAUACCGUAUGAUGACGUAAGUCCAAAGAUUUAUCGCCUAAGGAUGAGCCCGCGUAGGAUUAGCUAGUUGGUAAGGUAAAAGCUUACCAAGGCGACGAUCCUUAGCUGGUCUGAGAGGAUGAUCAGCCACACUGGGACUGAGACACGGCCCAGACUCCUACGGGAGGCAGCAGUGGGGAAUAUUGGACAAUGGGCGAAAGCCUGAUCCAGCAAUGCCGCGUGAGUGAUGAAGGCCUUAGGGUUGUAAAGCUCUUUUACCCGGGAAGAUAAUGACUGUACCGGGAGAAUAAGCCCCGGC